UUUCUGGCAACACACAAAAAA
ensembl:piRNA 21ur-10888 ncRNA